ACUUUUAAAUCUGUUUGACGUUCAAAAAUGCAUAUGCAUCACUAAGAAGAAGGAUUAAGGACAACGCUGGUUAACUGUUGGUGGAUUGUGAACAUCCAUUCAAAGGCAGUGACGUAUGACUAAUUAAAAUAUUUUACACAUCUUUAGUUGUCUGUAAAAACGGCCUCGCUGCAUCAAUCAAGUUGCUCCUUUCAGCUGUGAACUGUUGUGUGAAAGUCUUUAUUUACUCUACAGUUUACAGUUUUAAGCAGAUUUUAGAAAAGCAGAACUCUGCUGUUAGAAGGAUGAGACAUGUCUGUUUGUAACAGUGUAGAUUUCUGCACAUGAACACCGUCUGAAGUUGAAACUUAUUUGACUUUGUUUUGUGUUCUUAGUUAAGUUUAGCAGAAAUGGGGAACAGUCAGGUUUCCACGUCCUUCCAGGACUCUGGGGGUAUUCCUGAUGAACACGACUCAUCAGUGAAAAAACCUGAAACAGACUUAAAUAGGUCAAAGAGGGUCAAUAUUCUGACAGUCUGUCUCUGUGUCAGUGGCUGUUGGAGCUUCAGAAUAUCAGUCAGUGACAGCGAAGGUGGGCGAGGACGUCACUCUGGACGUUGAGGACACACAUCUGCAGCCAGAAGAUGACCUCAUCUGGUCUUAUGGUCCCAAUCACACCGUCUUCAUCACCUUCUGCAAUGGAGACCUGCAGAGAGAUUUUCCAGACAGGUUCCAGCUGGACCAAAGGACCGGAUCGCUCACCAUCAGAUCGCCGACCGUCGAGGACGCCCGACUUUAUGAGUGUGUGAUCAGCAACGAUCGCGGGCCGACAUGGAGAUUCAACCUGACGGUUGUUGCAGCUGAUCCCACCUCAACACCACCUGGACCUCCACAUGACAGGACUCACUGGAUAGUUGGUGUAUCUGGAUUCAUCUUCAUCUGUAUUCUGCUGCUGUUUGCAUGGAAGCUGAAGGAAGCCACAGGAAAAUGUUGUUCCCAUCCACCAGCUGUUGUCUGAAGUCCGUCGGUGAAGAAAAAAAUUCCUUCAGGUCCAGAGGAAACUGGAAGAUGGUGAUGAAGAUGAGGAUGAGGAUGAUGAUGAUGAUGCUGAUGAUGAUGAUGAUG